AGUUCGGAUUGCAGUCUGCAACUCGCCUACAUGAAGUCGGAGUUGCUAGUAAUCGCGGGUCAGAAUGCCGCGGUGAAUGCGUUCCCGGGUCUUGUACACACCGCCCGUCACACCAUGGAAGUUGGGGGCGCCCGAAGUUGCCUAAGAAAUAAGGUACCUAAGGCGAAACCAAUGACUGGGGUGAAGUCGUAACAAGGUAAC
rnacentral:rRNA from 1 species